UCCAUACACUCCGUCUCCUGAAGGGGAAGCGGGCUCUUCUCAGAUGCACAGGGACAAUGUGAAAAUCCUGUCCUCAGAUUGAGAGGCUGUUUCGUGGGCACCGAAUUCGGGGUCAGGAAAGCAGCCUGCAUCCACGAGUAUCCUCGGGUUACUAAGUGGGGCCAGUGGCUCCAGGUGUAACCCAUUUAAGUUUGCCAGACAGCCGGGAUGUUCUGGUGAAGGAUCUGAAGUGUAUGGCCACACCAGUCCCAGAAGAGCCUGGGAGAAGGGAAGAUGGUGAACACAGUGGAGUUCUGCUGCAAAGCCGAAGAUGGUUCUGGCACGUGGCAUGACCCACAUGACUCAACAUCAGGAGAUCUGACUUCAUAAAAGUGAACUAUCACAAUGCUGCUUUGCAAGCUGUGUGUGAGUGUAAAAGCGUUGAAACUUCCUCAAUAAAUGAAAAGAUAUCUUU